GUACCAACCAUGAUGAAAUAAUUUCGGAUGUAAACGGGUCUAAAGGAUUCGAGUGUCCGAGAGCGCAUAAAACCAUGUGGAUGCUUCCGUUGCCUUCCUUCUGACCUUUA
rnacentral:snoRNA from 1 species